rnacentral:lncRNA from 1 species
UCAUCAUAAGCGUUGCUAUGGUAUUUUUUUGGCACAAGUGGAGUAUGAUGUUGAGCAUGAUUAUGCGAUAAUUAAAGGCAUGUUGUCACUUAUUGCACGUUAAGAAAGUAGUAAAUGCAAUAGUUUUCUUAAUUUAAAGUAGUAGUAAAGGAAAUCAGAAAAAGAAAGAAACAAAAGACAAGUCAGUUGCGCAACUGAAAAGGGAAUAGAAUGCUUAAAGGAAUUAAACAAGUAACUGCGCAUAAAGAGAUAUAAAUUCACAAUAAUAAUCUGAAAUGGUAAAAGCCUAUAUAAUAUCCCCAGCAGAUUCUCCAUGCUAUCACACCCCCUUAUUCCUCCGCAGAAAUCGGGUUUAUAACAUUUGAGGGACAACUUGUUCCUUUUAGGAACUGGGUCUUUCCUUCUUUAAGAGUCGUCACCUAAUGAUUAGGGUGUAUUAGGACACCAUAAGAGUUUGAUUUGAAUAACCAAAGAUAGGUUAAGGGCUUGAAAGUAUACUAAGGGGGAAGGUGUAAGGGACCCCUCAGAAUCCACUAGUGUAGUUCCCGGCCAGACAAUUAUUGUGAAUUUGGGUACAAUUAACAUAUAAGGCUCAAAUAAAAGGGGAUUUCAACAGAUAAUGGUUUUAAAGAGAAAUUAGAAAAGAUGAUUUUUAAACUAAAAAGUUAAAAAAUGGUGAAAAGGAAAUAAAGAAUAAAAGGAGGAGGGUACUAGGUUUAUUAAAAAUAUGGAUCAUCACACAAUGCCCG